UAGGAGGUAGUACAAUGGUAGUACGCGAGGUUUUGGGUUUCGUAGUACAGGUUCAAGUCCUGUUGUCUAGG
rnacentral:tRNA from 1 species